UGGGUCGUGGUGCAAUUGGUAGCACAUCAGACUUUGGAUCUGACCGUUGCAGGUUCAACUCCUGCCGACCCAA
rnacentral:tRNA from 1 species